ensembl:lncRNA
CUUUGGUACAUACUGCUGAAGUAUUUCACAGAAAGUUUGUGCCUAUUUAUAGUCCCACCAGCUGCAUUGCAGCUGCAUUCAGGAUACCAUUUUUUAAAGAUUUUAUUUUUCCUUUUUCUCCCCAAAGCCCCCCGGUACAUAGUUGCAUAUAUUUUUUGGCUGUGGGUCCUUCUAGUUGUGGCACGUGGAAUGCCACCUCAGCAUGGCUUGAUGAGCGGUGCCACCUCCGCGCCCAGGAUCCAAACCAUGGAAACCCCAGGCCUCCGAAGCAGAGCACGUGAACUUAACCACUAGACGGGGCCAGCCCCAGGAUAAUGUUUUUUAAUCUUUGCCAUUUUGAUAGGUAAAAAUGUCGUCUAUUCUUGUUUUAUUUGCAUAUCUUUGUUUAAUAAUCUUUGAUUUUUUCCACGUGUUCUUUCUUAAGAAUCCAUUCAUAUGUCUUUUUAAUUAAAGAUACACCUUGUCACUAUUUUUAAAUCUACUAUCAGUUUGUGAGACUUAACCAUCAAAAUAAGUAAAUUAUUAUUUGUAUUUGUGCAGCUACAUGUACUUAAUCUUAUAGAUUGCAAUUUGUCUCUAACACAACUAUGGCAUCUGAAUUAAGAUAAAUGCAAAUUUCAUUUGGGACUAUUUUAAACCUACUUGCAUCCUGUUUCACCUUUUUUAGGUGCCCAUCUUUGAGGUUCUGUUUGUGUGGAUGCUUGUACCUGAUUAUACACGAUCUCUUAAGAAGUCCUACCUAGGCCUACUUUUGUAUGUAUUUCUUUGAACUGAGGCAUUUCUUGACAACUUACCUCAUCAAAUUCUACCUGCCUGUCACACUAAUCUCUCAGGGCUGAAGGAUGUAUUGUUCUCUAACCAGAUCACAAUGUAUGAGCAGACUUCCUCUCCUAGAUAGGGUAAAUUGUUAGCAUAUUAAGGAGUGGUUUAACAUCAAAAAUUUACAACAUAGUAUAUGGCAAGUUAGAAGAGAAUUUUUAGGGAGACAGGUGUUCUGACACACUCAGAUAAGACUAGACUACCAGGUAGAUAUUAGCAUCCUACAUAGCUACAGAGUGAACCUUCAGUUGCUUUUAAUUUACAAUUUUCAAGGUGAGAUACGGUUUUCCAUUGAUUCAUGCAUCUGUUAGAAAAUGCAUAAAUCUUCAAAUGUUGGCAUGUUAACCAUCUUGGAUCUCAAAUACUAGGAAUCACCUGGCUUUGACAGAGUUAAAAAGAAUAGUAACGAACACUCUAAAAGAGCUAGAAAGUUCCAAAGAAGGGCAAUUUAAAUGAUUGAGAUUCUUAAACUCUGCAAGAUGAUGGAAUAGAAAUAUUGAGCCAGAUAAAAAAAAUUUGUCUGAAAGGUCAAAUGCUGAUGAACGAGAAAGAUCAAAGUUUAUACAAUGAUAAAAAUUGAAAAGAAUUAACAGGGAGAUUUGUUAAAACUCUCAGUAUUAGAAUUGUGGGACACUUAUCAUACUUACCAAUCCUAAUUCUAAAGAAUUAUGAGAGGAAGUGUGUAGCACAGUAUAGUUAAUAAAAUUUGAGAAUUUAGAUAAAUCUAGAGAUAAAAGACCCAUAAAGGGAUAGAAACUGUCAGUGAGUGGGUCAUGUCUUCCUUCAGGCUGUCUUUACUGAUGAUUCCAUAAGGGGUGUUUUCUCUCACUUCCUUACUGAUCUUUCCCCCUCCUGUAUCAAUAGAAUGAUACUGGGUGCUAUUGCAUGAGGUUUGCUUAGGUCCAGUGUGGUACCCCUUAUAAUCUACGUUAAAUCAGUGGUCAUCAAUAAAUAUGUAUUAACCAUAAAAUAAUCAAAUUUGGUUGCAAAAUUUGACUGCUUAUGAUAAUUUAGGAAACCAUUGAUUCUAAAAGAGUAAUGAUUUCACAGAAUUUGAAGGCAUUUUGGAGGUUUUCUUAGAGUAGGAAAAAAAAGCUAUCAUGCUUUAUGUGCAGUUUGCUGCAAUUUUACCACUUAAACUACAUAUAUCUGAAGAUGGCUUCCAUAUUCAACAGGCUAUGAAAUAAAUUGCCUUUUCUGGGUAGUAAUACAGAAUAGUGUAAAGGUCACUGUCAUGUUUCAGACUUUUGACAACGUUCAUUGUGCUAUAAAUAACUGUGGCUAGCAUUUUUAUUUCAUGAAACCAAAGUUAUAUAAAUAGGAUUUUAAGACGUAAGGUAUGUGGUAGAUGAAUUAUAUUGAAAACAUGUACACACCAUAUUGCUAUAGGUCUCUUUAAUUAAAGUCUUUUUGGAGGUUUCUGUUAAAGCUAAAGCUAAUAUCUCUUAGCCUCUCUAUUUAUUGAAAUCUGAGUUAGAGUUUAGUGUUUAUGGGAUAAGCAAAUCAUGUGGAAGUGGUCAUAGAAAUGUGUGCAGUCUUAUCUGUUUUGGGCUGUUCCCAAAUGCAGAAACUCCGCUUAACAAUAAUCCCUUCACAUUAUUCUUGAUGUAGUUUUCCUUUUUGUAUAACAUACUAAUUUUUUUUAUAGCAAGUACAGAGAGAGUCAUUGUUGACAAGGUGUAACAGCAACGCAAACAUCUUGUUGACCAGCCCAGCUUGGCUUUGACGGCUUCACUGAGAAAGGACAAAGUGUGAUCAAGAUACCAAUAUUAAGUAUACAACCAAAAGGACAUUCAUACACCAACAGAGGACAUAUAUGCAUCACAACAGAUGUCUGAGAGACCCACGCAGCCACACGCUUGAAGAUGGUGGUGGAGCUGGAUCCUCUGGAGGAAGUGGAAGUUGAUCUCCAGAAGCUCCAUGGAGAGAGAUGGGCCAUGGUGGUGGCAAGUGCACAGGUGAAAAGGGCACCCCAUCCCCGCCUGGUACUCGAGCCCCAGAAUCGUCCAGAGCACAGUGCAGUGAGCAUUGUAGUAGCAGCAGGGAAAGUUUGCAGCCCCAGGAUCGCCCAGUUCACAGUGUGGAGAAUGUGGCAGCAGUGAAGGGGAAAGUGCACAGGAGAGAGAGGUGCCCCAUCCACGCCCAGCACUCCAGCCUUAGGAUCAGCCGGAGUAUGGCCCAGAGAGCUUGGCAGUGGGAGCAGGGAAAGUGCUCAAACCCAGAAUCAUCUGGAGCAUGGUGCAGAGAGCGUGGCAGAGGUGGUGGGGAGAGUGUAGAGGUCAGGAGAGAUACCCCAUCCUCGUCCAGCACUCCAGCCCCACUAUCACUUGGUGCAUGGAGUGGUGAGAGAGGGCAUGGGGGCUGGAAAAAGGGAAAGUGCACAGUCCUGCAAUCGCCCAGAGCUCCAGACAGAGAGCCAAGCAUGGGCUGUGGGAAGCACUGGGGAAGGAGGGUAGCCUUCCUCCUGCCCCUCCAGAUCUGUCAUCAAUCAGUCACUCAGAGAGAAAAGCCAUCAGUGCCCAGAGCUGGGGAGCCCCUGUUCAUGCCAGGCCCAGAAUACACAGUGCCUGUUCCCCAUGCAGUGGUGGCACGUGGCAGCUGGGACCAGAUAAGAUCACCAUGAGGAAGCAAAAUCCAGUCCAUCAAGCAAUAUGUGUAGCUAUAUUAAAUCUCCAGCCAAGAAGGAAAGUGGCAAGUACCCAGAAAUCAA